GAUAUGCCCUGGUGAUGCUGGCCAGCAGCAGGGAGAUGCAGCUCUGUGUUGGUCACACAGUCACGAGGACACCUGCAUCUUCUGGGGCAGUGCCAGCUGCAUCCAUCCUGGAGACACAAUGAUGAAGUUCAGAGGGUGUCCAGUGAUCCUGACCCUGCUUAAGUGUGUCCCUUAUUCCUCCCAGCUCUCCUAGAUCAUGUUCCACCUCUGGCACCUGACCAGGGAAGGACAGAGACUGAGGUUUCUUGAGGACACAGAUUAUGUCUUAGUCAUCCUGAAUCUCCAUUGCCUAGCACUAUACUUGUUCCCUCCUACUUUAAGAACAAAGAAGUGGAAAGAGGUCAUGCCAAGAGAAAGGAAAAUACCUGGUUCUUGACAGGAGUAACAUAUCCUUUCUUUCGAUAAUCAACGGAGUCUGGGGCUCUGCUUUCCCAGUCUGGGAUAUAGAGAGUAUCAUUACUGCGGGAGUGAGAGGGGGGUACUUUGAGUCCAGUCAUCUUCUGAACCACCUCUUCACUGGUCUGGGACAAAAAACAAAAAGGCAAGGCAUAAGCAGAGAACUAAGGCAAACAGGGCAAGUAGGCCAGGAGCUGAGGUUCAACUCACCAUGUCACCCAAGUGGUUCAUGGCCAGUUCAUAUGUAUGGACACCAAGAGAGGCUUCAAGAUUAUGGAUAGAAAUAUGCUUCAAGUUUUUUUCCCAAAUUAAACGCCGAGAGAGUUCAUCCACCUAAACAGAGAAUAGUCAGUACUGGUGGACUGUGUCCUGUGUACAAAGUUACAUAAGUAACACUGUGGAGAUUUUUAGAAAAAAAGAUGAAACAAUCAUGCAGGGUUUAUAGUCUAGUUGGAGAACUGGCCACAGUAUUAUUGAGAGCAUACAGAAAGAAAUACACAAAUACAAAAAUAGAAUCCCAAGCUCUGGAGAGACGUAUAGAAAAUUGCUCAUGGAUGAAUAACAUUAAUCUGAGAAGUCUUCCCCAAAGAGAAGUAUGACAGUUAUAAAGAAAAGGCUUGAACUUGAGGGAGGGUGAGUCAAAGAGUAGGAAUGAAACUGCAUGUUGAGUUAGAGAACCGGGGCAGGUUUGCUUGGCUGGACUGAUUAAGGUAUCGGGAUUGAAGAAGGGAGUCUGGAAGCUAAAGGCUGGAGGUCUCAAGUUCCCCGACCAUGCUCCCCACCCAGUCCCCAGGCACCUUGCUAUUAUACUGCUUCCUGUAGGUCUUCUUCCAAAGGUCCCAUUGGGUGUCCAGUAUCUCCUCAGGAUAUAGAGCAAAGCUUGCCAUGGGCAGCAGCAGUAGAACCUCAAGCCCCCACAUCCUGGGGAAGGAGAUAAUUAGGGGAGAGUCUUCUGUUUGCCAAAGGGUUCAUAGACUGGCUUGGGAUGAGGAAAUAGCUGAAGUCUUAUUCCCAAACAGGUGGUUCUUAACUUUUGGGAGUCAUAGACUCCUUUGAGAAGCUAGUAAAAUUUUGUAAUCCAUUACAGUUCCACUCACCUGAAAAAUGCAUGCACACACAAUAGUUCUGGGGAUUUCAUGAACCCAAAGCACCCCUUCCUUGGGACCACAAGGCAAAUUAAAACAAGGAUUUAUAAGGAAGGAAUACAAAGAAUUGAGCAUGAUUUGCAUAUAAAACAAUGAUAGGAAGGAUCUGGGUUUGGAUUGGGUGCUGAUACAUCUGGUUCUACGUAUUUUGACCUAGGGAGAUUCAACACACACAAAUACACCCCACACUUGCACAGAAAACCAGAAAUGGGGUAGAAAAUGGACAAUCAGAAUGGAAUCAGCACCUGUCUCCUGUGCAGACUUGGAAGUUGGAGGGGGGUAGGAGAAUACAGGAGAGAUCUCCAGCUAAGUUUUGUUCCCUGACCAUUUCUUUAAGGUAUUAUUUACCCCCUUGCCCCAAAUUCUGAUACUUUCCCAGAUCUCGCCAGAAGAGGAUGGAGAAAAGUUGACAGUAUUUCUUACUUUCUAAUGUUUAUGGUCUCCUUAGUAUUAUGCAUCUCUUCCUCCCUUCUCUUCCUGCUCCCUCAGGCAGGAAACUGCCCCUAAUCUCAACCAGAUGAUGUUGGCAGCAAAGUUUUUCUUUCUUUUCCUGACAACAAAAAACCUCUGUGACUGCCUCACAGGAUGAAAAGCUUCAGAACCAAAGCUUGUUAGAAGAAUGCAAGACAAAAACAGCAGUCUUCUAUGAUCAUUAAAUUCACGGCUUUUCAGUUUACUCUAGCUUCACUCAUUUAAGGUGGCUUGCUUAAUUCCAUGUUCUCCAUUUUAAGAACAAUUUAUAGUCUGAAGCAAGUCAUACAGCUUGCAUCAUUUUUAAAUUUACAGUCCUAUUUUUGUGUAAUCUUUGCAGACUGGCAAAACAUUCAAUAAGACAUUUCAUAUCUGGAAUGUUAAGGGCUUUGAGACAGAAUAGAAAAGCACCUCUGGGCACCAGUCCUUCUCCCUGCUAGUAAAUUAACCCUUUUGGUACCUUUGGCCAAAACAGAAAACCCUACCGGGGGAGGCCACUCUUUAAGGGAACCAAGGGAUUCCCUGUAUCUCUACUAUAUCUCUAGCUUUCACUAACAACUAUGUAUACAAACAUAUAAAUCGUAGAAGGAAUCCUAAAGAUUUCCAGGCAAAUUUUAUUUGGCCAGGAAAUGACCUGUUUUUACCCACACAACCUACAAAUCUUAACUAGAUGCCCAAGUCACGACAUCCCUUAUAUCCCUAAAAUGGAGAAAGGAAGAAAUGAGAAGCUAAAAGAUCUAGCAAGUAGAAAAUGUUACCUGCUGACAGGAUCUGUGCUCUGGGUUCCGUUUGCUGGGGAGUGUGGAUAAUGUGGGCGGAUGACUAGGGGUACUGGAUUUAUUCCAUCAGGAUUGCGGAAGUCAGUUUCAGCUGUGGGCUGGAAAUUUUGAAUAGGAAAGGGAGGCGGGGAAAGAAAUGCUGAGAGAAGCGGGGUUGGAGAGGGAAAGCAGCAGUGGAUUUGCAAUGCUUCUGUGUGUGUGUGUGUGUGUGUGUG